UAUAUAAAGAAGAAAAAUCUCUGGAAGUUUUCCUUGGUGGAAGAAAAUUAGAGAACAAAGAGAGAGUUCUCUCGUGAGCUUCCAAAGGAAAGGAAGGUGGUUGUAAGCAAAUGAAGUCUUGGAAGCCAAAUCUUGUUAAAGCUCUCAAGAGAUUUAAGGUGGGGAAUCUUCACAAGGAAAGAGUAUCUUGGAAGGCUGAAAUAUAUUUGAGUAAGAAAGGUUAUGUGAAGAUGUAUGUUUUUGGCUUGUGUAGUGUAAGUGAUGUAUUUCUUUUUGUUCAAAUGUAUGUAUGCUUGACGUGGGAGAAUGGAGGAAAACUUUCUUAUUUUUGAGGUAUUUGAGGUAUUUUAAUAUUCUAGAAAGUUGAUUUAAAAAUAAAAUAAAAAUAAAGGGCUAGGAUGUUACUGCUAUCAGCAGGUGCGCGCAAGUGAUCCGCACGGGCGGCUGAGGUGCUGCCACCCCGUUGCUGCUGUUUUUUAUUUAUUUUAUUUUAUUUUAUUUCUGAAAUUUCUACAAUAAAAGCAUGUUUAUAAAAAAUAAAUAAAUGCAAAUUUGAGCCUCCAAAAUAUUUAUUAAAUUAAAGUAAAUUUUGAGGCAUUUUUGAAAAAAUUCCUAUAUUUUGGAAAAUAAAACAAAUGAGUAUUUCCUUGAAUUUUGGGAAAAUGGAUGAGAAAACCUAAUGUUUUGAAUUUCAAAAAUCUUACUUCCUAAAGGUUGGAAAUUUGGUAUAUUUUUGAAAUAAAUAAAAGGAAAAUAAAUUGAGGUUUGGCUAAAGAAAAAAUUAUUAAAUUUUUCAAGAGGAGUUUAACCCAAGUAUUUUUCUAAGGUAAUUGAGAAUAAGAAAAUGGGUUAAUAAUUAGGCCAAAAUUUAUUUUCUAAUAAUUAAGGCCUUGUGCCAUAGUUAGAAAAAAGCGAGUGUGUUUUGCUUGUUUUUAUUGAAUCUUGGGAAAAGUCAUCAUUGGCUCUUCAUUAAGAGCUAGUUUUAAUUAAGGGUGACACUUCACCAAGGUUUCGAAUUUGUUUCCACGAGAUCUUUGAUAUUUUUUCCAAAUCCUUGACUGGAGCGAAAGGAGGAGCGAAGCCUAGUUCUCACUUAGAACAUUUCUUAUUGAAACAUAGCUCGUCUCUUCAUUAUUGUCUUAGCAAGUGAAUAGUUAGUUGAUUAUUCACGAGUAACGCCCAUAAGUGGGAGCGGGGCGUUACAAAUAGACCGUUGUAACCUACGUUGACAGUCGUCGUAGCCUGCCAGUGACUGGAGCAGGGCGUAUCUGUCUUCAGGCCAGCACUUCCAAGCAUGCCUCGGUCGUUCUCGCCUUCAUGCCCUUUGCCAUGUGUGUUUCUCUGCCAUCGCCAAAAGCUGGGUUUGAGUUUCUGUUAUACCUUGCUUGCUGUUGUUACUUUGGAGAGUAUAUUGUUGUGGGUUUUUUAUGUUCACUGUUUACUGUACAAUUGGGUAAACUUCAUAUAUAUUUCGUUGCUGUUUGUGGGUUUUGGCAGCUCUAAUAUAAUUAUUGUUUUCCAUUGUUGUUGUUGUGUCAACAACUUGCAUACAUGGUUGCGUUGUUGUACUAACAACUAUCUCACUAGUCUUAACAAGGGAAAAGAAUCGAAAUGAAACAUCAAUGGGCAAUCGUAGAUAAAGAAUUCUUAAAAUCAUUUAGCAUAAGACAAUUAAGUGCCAAAAGAAAGAUUUUGUCGUUCUCCUUUUCGCCAACUUCUAAAGAUAUUAGACCACCCUUCAUGUUCAAUAAAAACUAUAGUUUUAGACACUAAGUAUUUCAGAAGUUAUGACUUUCUUGAGAAAUCAUACCAAACAACUCAUAGACAAGGAAUUAAGAAUUGGAUUUCUCAAGUCAAUUAUGUAAUCCACUUACACAUGGACAUAAUAGAUUUCUAGUAUUUCAGAAGUUAUAACUUAAAAGCUCAUUUUAUCAUGAUAUUGUAAGUUUCAUUUAAUAUUCUAUUAUGUUGAGAGAGAAAGAGAGAGUUUCAUUGUAGAGUGAUGUAAGAUUCAUCUAUAAAUAAAUUCAAUUUAUUAUAUAUUCUCCUAAAUCUCUAAAUUUACGACUUAUUACUUUCUAAUAUAAUCCAAAUAUAAUAUAUAUAUGUAUGUAUUUAUGUGUGUGUGUGUAUUUCUUGUAUGGCCUAAAGUACAAUAUAUAUUCUAAAUAAGGUCAUUUGUUACAUAAUUUUCUUAAAGUUAUGU